CCUACGGGGAGCAGCAGUGGGGAAUAUUGGACAAUGGGCGAAAGCCUGAUCCAGCCAUGCCGCGUGUGUGAAGAAGGCCUUCGGGUUGUAAAGCACUUUCAGUGGGGAAGAAAGCCUUGGGGCUAAUACCCUCGAGGAAGGACAUCACCCACAGAAGAAGCACCGGCUAACUCCGUGCCAGCAGCCGCGGUAAUACGGAGGGUGCGAGCGUUAAUCGGAAUUACUGGGCGUAAAGCGCGCGUAGGCGGUCUGAUAAGCCGGUUGUGAAAGCCCCGGGCUCAACCUGGGAACGGCAUCCGGAACUGUCAGGCUAGAGUGCAGGAGAGGAAGGUAGAAUUCCCGGUGUAGCGGUGAAAUGCGUAGAGAUCGGGAGGAAUACCAGUGGCGAAGGCGGCCUUCUGGACUGACACUGACGCUGAGGUGCGAAAGCGUGGGUAGCAAACAGGAUUAGAUACCCUUGUAGUC
rnacentral:rRNA from 1 species